UCCGGUUGAUCCUGCCAGAGGCCGCUGCUAUCCGGCUGGGACUAAGCCAUGCUAGUCUAGGGGCUUGUACCCCUUCGGGGGUGCAAGCACCGGCGGACGGCUCAGUAACACGUGGACAACCUGCCCUCGGGUGGGGGAUAACCCCGGGAAACUGGGGCUAAUCCCCCAUAGGUGAUGGGUGCUGGAAUGCCCCAUCUCCGAAAGCGCUCAGCGCCCGAGGAUGGGUCUGCGGCGGAUUAGGUAGUUGGUGGGGUAACGGCCCACCAAGCCUAAGAUCCGUACGGGCUGUGGGAGCAGGAGCCCGGAGAUGGACCCUGAGACAAGGGUCCAGGCCCUACGGGGCGCAGCAGGCGCGAAACCUCCGCAAUGCGGGAAACCGCGACGGGGUUAGCCGGAGUGCCCGUGCAUUGCACGGGCUGUCGGGGUGCCUAAACAGCACCCCAUAGCAAGGGCCGGGCAAGGCCGGUGGCAGCCGCCGCGGUAAGACCGGCGGCCCGAGUGGCGGCCACUCUCAUUGGGCCUAAAGCGUCCCUAGCCGGCCCAGUAAGUCCCCCGGGGAAAUCUGGUCGCUUA
rnacentral:rRNA from 1 species